rnacentral:rRNA from 1 species
AUGAACGCUGGCGGCGUGCCUAAUACAUGCAAGUCGAGCGAACAGACGAGGAGCUUGCUCCUCUGACGUUAGCGGCGGACGGGUGAGUAACACGUGGAUAACCUACCUAUAAGACUGGGAUAACUUCGGAAAACCGGAGCUAAUACCGGAUAAUAUAUUGAACCGCAUGGUUCAAUAGUGAAAGACGGUUUUGCUGUCACUUAUAGAUGGAUCCGCGCCGCAUUAGCUAGUUGGUAAGGUAACGGCUUACCAAGGCAACGAUGCGUAGCCGACCUGAGAGGGUGAUCGGCCACACUGGAACUGAGACACGGUCCAGACUCCUACGGGAGGCAGCAGUAGGGAAUCUUCCGCAAUGGGCGAAAGCUUGACGGAGCAACGCCGCGUGAGUGAUGAAGGUCUUCGGAUCGUAAAACUCUGUUAUUAGGGAAGAACAAAUGUGUAAGUAACUAUGCACGUCUUGACGGUACCUAAUCAGAAAGCCACGGCUAACUACGUG